GAGUUUGAUCCUGGCUCAGAACGAACGCUUGCGGCGUGCUUAACACAUGCAAGUCGAACGAGAAAGGGACUUCGGUCCUGAGUAAAGUGGCGCACGGGUGAGUAACGCGUAGGUAAUCUACCCCUGUGUUCGGGACAACAUCGGGAAACUGGUGCUAAUACCGGAUACGUUUCACAGAUAGCGAUAUAAGUGAAGGAAAGAUGGCGAUCUCUUCGGAGAGCUAUUGCACGGGGAUGAGCCUGCGUACCAUUAGCUAGUUGGCAGGGUAAGGGCCUACCAAGGCGACGAUGGUUAGCGGGUCUGAGAGGAUGAUCCGCCACACUGGCACUGGAACACGGGCCAGACUCCUACGGGAGGCAGCAGUGAGGAAUUUUGCACAAUGGGGGAAACCCUGAUGCAGCGACGCCGCGUGAGUGACGAAGGUCUUCGGAUCGUAAAGCUCUGUCAGCAGGGAAGAAAUGUGUCAUGGCUAAUAUCCACGAUACUUGACGGUACCUGCAAAGGAAGCACCGGCUAACUCCGUGCCAGCAGCCGCGGUAAUACGGAGGGUGCGAGCGUUGUUCGGAUUUACUGGGCGUAAAGGGCGCGUAGGCGGUCUUAUAAGCCAGAUGUGAAAGCCCACGGCUCAACCGUGGAAGUGCAUCUGGAACUGUAAGACUUGAGUACUGGAGGGGAGUGUGGAAUUCCCGGUGUAGAGGUGAAAUUCGUAGAUAUCGGGAGGAAUACCGGUGGCGAAGGCGACACUCUGGACAGAUACUGACGCUGAGGCGCGAAAGCGUGGGGAGCAAACAGGAUUAGAUACCCUGGUAGUCCACAGCUGUAAACGAUGUGCACUAGGUGUGGGGGGUCGUUGACCCUUUCCGUGCCGUAGCUAACGCGAUAAGUGCACCGCCUGGGGAGUACGGUCGCAAGAUUAAAACUCAAGGGAAUUGACGGGGCCCGCACAAGCC
rnacentral:rRNA from 1 species